rnacentral:misc_RNA from 1 species
UCUCCGUUGGUGAACCAGCGGAGGGAUCAUUGCUGGAACGCGCCCCCACGGGCGCACCCCAGAUACCCUAUGUGAACUUAUACCCCAUAUCGUUGCCUCGGCAAGGCUGGGAGACGUACGUCUCCCCCACCGGGAGCGCGCCGCCAGCGCGCGCCCCGGCGGAGCAGGUCUGCCGGCGGCCCAUUUUCCAACCUCUUGUUUUCAUACAGUAGUACUUCUGAGCAAACAAAACAAAAAUGAAUCAAAACUUUCAACAACGGAUCUCUUGGUUCUGGCAUCGAUGAAGAACGCAGC